UCUUCAUUUCACGUGCUCUCUCGCCGGUCAGAGAGGCGAGAGAGUGCGUGAAAUGAAGAGA
rfam:Pristionchus pacificus strain PS312 contig3933, whole genome shotgun sequence.